rnacentral:rRNA from 1 species
UACGAAGGGGGCUAGCGUUGCUCGGAAUCACUGGGCGUAAAGCGCACGUAGGCGGCUUUCUAAGUCAGGGGUGAAAUCCUGGAGCUCAACUCCAGAACUGCCUUUGAUACUGGAGAGCUUGAGUCCGGAAGAGGUGAGUGGAACUCCUAGUGUAGAGGUGGAAUUCGUAGAUAUUAGGAAGAACACCAGUGGCGAAGGCGGCUCACUGGUCCGGUACUGACGCUGAGGUGCGAAAGCGUGGGGAGCAAACAGG